rnacentral:rRNA from 1 species
UACGUAGGGGGCGAGCGUUGUCCGGAAUGACUGGGCGUAAAGGGCGUGUAGGCGGUCGUUUAAGUCUGGAGUGAAAGUCCUGCUUUCAAGGUGGGAACUGCUUUGGAUACUGGGCGACUCGAGUGCGGAAGAGGUAAGUGGAAUUCCCAGUGUAGCGGUGAAAUGCGUAGAGAUUGGGAGGAACACCAGUGGCGAAGGCGACUUACUGGGCCGUAACUGACGCUGAGGCGCGAAAGCGUGGGGAG